rnacentral:rRNA from 1 species
GUCUGCGGCCUUACCACCUAAAUAUGCCUGAUCUCGGAAACUAAGCAGGGUCAGGCCUGGUUAGUACUUGGAUGGGAAGAAUGAGAGUAUUGUUGGGG